rnacentral:rRNA from 1 species
CACGCCGUAAACGAUGGAUACUUGUUGUUGGUGGUAUUGACCCCAUCAGUGACGAAGCAAACGCGUUAAGUAUCCCGCCUGGGAAGUACGGCCGCAAGGUUAAAACUCAAAGAAAUUGACGGGGGCCCGCACAAGCGGUGGAGCAUGUGGUUUAAUUCGAUGCAACGCGAAGAACCUUACCUGGGUUUGACAUCUGGUGGAAGGGUCACAGAAAUGUGCCCGCCUUCGGGCCGCCAGACAGGUGC